AAAUUGAAGAGUUUGAUCAUGGCUCAGAUUGAACGCUGGCGGCAGGCCUAACACAUGCAAGUCGAGCGGAAACGAGUUAUCUGAACCUUCGGGGAACGAUAACGGCGUCGAGCGGCGGACGGGUGAGUAAUGCCUAGGAAAUUGCCCUGAUGUGGGGGAUAACCAUUGGAAACGAUGGCUAAUACCGCAUGAUGCCUACGGGCCAAAGAGGGGGACCUUCGGGCCUCUCGCGUCAGGAUAUGCCUAGGUGGGAUUAGCUAGUUGGUGAGGUAAGGGCUCACCAAGGCGACGAUCCCUAGCUGGUCUGAGAGGAUGAUCAGCCACACUGGAACUGAGACACGGUCCAGACUCCUACGGGAGGCAGCAGUGGGGAAUAUUGCACAAUGGGCGCAAGCCUGAUGCAGCCAUGCCGCGUGUGUGAAGAAGGCCUUCGGGUUGUAAAGCACUUUCAGUCGUGAGGAAGGUAGUGUAGUUAAUAGCUGCAUUAUUUGACGUUAGCGACAGAAGAAGCACCGGCUAACUCCGUGCCAGCAGCCGCGGUAAUACGGAGGGUGCGAGCGUUAAUCGGAAUUACUGGGCGUAAAGCGCAUGCAGGUGGUUUGUUAAGUCAGAUGUGAAAGCCCGGGGCUCAACCUCGGAAUUGCAUUUGAAACUGGCAGACUAGAGUACUGUAGAGGGGGUAGAAUUUCAGGUGUAGCGGUGAAAUGCGUAGAGAUCUGAAGGAAUACCGGUGGCGAAGGCGGCCCCCUGGACAGAUACUGACACUCAGAUGCGAAAGCGUGGGGAGCAAACAGGAUUAGAUACCCUGGUAGUCCACGCCGUAAACGAUGUCUACUUGGAGGUUGUGGCCUUGAGCCGUGGCUUUCGGAGCUAACGCGUUAAGUAGACCGCCUGGGGAGUACGGUCGCAAGAUUAAAACUCAAAUGAAUUGACGGGGGCCCGCACAAGCGGUGGAGCAUGUGGUUUAAUUCGAUGCAACGCGAAGAACCUUACCUACUCUUGACAUCCAGAGAACUUUCCAGAGAUGGAUUGGUGCCUUCGGGAACUCUGAGACAGGUGCUGCAUGGCUGUCGUCAGCUCGUGUUGUGAAAUGUUGGGUUAAGUCCCGCAACGAGCGCAACCCUUAUCCUUGUUUGCCAGCGAGUAAUGUCGGGAACUCCAGGGAGACUGCCGGUGAUAAACCGGAGGAAGGUGGGGACGACGUCAAGUCAUCAUGGCCCUUACGAGUAGGGCUACACACGUGCUACAAUGGCGCAUACAGAGGGCGGCCAACUUGCGAAAGUGAGCGAAUCCCAAAAAGUGCGUCGUAGUCCGGAUUGGAGUCUGCAACUCGACUCCAUGAAGUCGGAAUCGCUAGUAAUCGUGGAUCAGAAUGCCACGGUGAAUACGUUCCCGGGCCUUGUACACACCGCCCGUCACACCAUGGGAGUGGGCUGCAAAAGAAGUAGGUAGUUUAACCUUCGGGGGGACGCUUACCACUUUGUGGUUCAUGACUGGGGUGAAGUCGUAACAAGGUAGCGCUAGGGGAACCUGGCGCUGGAUCACCUCCUUAAACGAUGAU
rnacentral:rRNA from 1 species